AAGUCGGGUGUCAGCAGCCGCGGUAAUUCCAGCUCCAAUAGCGUAUAUUAAAGUUGUUGCAGUUAAAAAGCUCGUAGUUGAAUUUCGGGGUUAGUAGGUUGGUCAUGCCUCUGGUAUGUACUGGUCUCACUGAUUCCUCCUUCCUUAUGAACCGUAAUGCCAUUAAUUUGGUGUUGCGGGGAAUUUGGACUGUUACUUUGAAAAAAUUAGAGUGUUUAAAGCAAGCUAACGCUUGAAUACAUUAGCAUGGAAUAAUGAAAUAGGACGUUCGAUCUUAUUUUGUUGGUUUCUAGGAUUGACGUAAUGAUUAAUAGGGAUAGUUGGGGGCAUUAGUAUUCAAUUGUCAGAGGUGAAAUUCUUGGAUUUAUUGAAGACUAACUACUGCGAAAGCAUUUGCCAAGGAUGUUUUCAUUAAUCAAGAACGAAAGUUAGGGGAUCGAAGACGAUCAGAUACCGUCGUAGUCUUAACCAUAAACUAUGCCGACUAGGGAUCGGAUGAUGUUAAUUUUUUAAUGACUCAUUCGGCGCCUUACGGGAAACCAAAGUGUUUGGGU
rnacentral:rRNA from 1 species